rnacentral:rRNA from 1 species
GAUGAACGCUGGCGGCGUGCCUAAUACAUGCAAGUCGAGCGAACAGACGAGGAGCUGGCUCCUCUGACGUUAGCGGCGGACGGGUGAGUAACACGUGGAUAACCUACCUAUAAGACUGGGAUAACUUCGGGAAACCGGAGCUAAUACCGGAUAAUAUAGUGAACGGCAUGGUUCAAUAGUGAAAGACGGUUUUGCUGUCACUUAUAGAGGGAUCCGCGCCGCAUUAGCUAGUUGGUAAGGUAACGGCUUACCAAGGCGACGAUGCGUAGCCGACCUGAGAGGGUGACCGGCCACACUGGAACUGAGACACGGUCCAGACUCCUACGGGAGGCAGCAGUAGGGAAUCUUGCGCAAUGGGCGAAAGCCUGACGGAGCAACGCCGCGUGAGUGAUGAAGGCCUUCGGAUCGUAAAACUCUGUUAUUAGGAACGAACAAAUGUGUAAGUAACUAUGCACGUCUUGACGGUACCUACUCAGAAAGCAACGGCUAACUACGUG